rnacentral:lncRNA from 10 species
GAGCUGAUGAAUACACUUUCUAAGUCUCAUUUGUGUCUGCACUGUUCCUGUCCUGUAAGCUGCUGCCCAGCGUUGACCUGACCAACUCUUCCUCAUCUUUCAGGAGAUAGUUCAGGGGAGGAAGGAAGGCUAUGGAGAAGGGUGGGGGAGGGAGGAAGGGAGGGAGAGAGAGCUAGAGGGAGAAAGAGACAGAGAGAGAAGAGAGAAAACUCCUCAGAGUCUUUGAGCAUUUCUCUGAAAUUACAGUAACAAAACAAAGAUCAUAACACCCCAAAUGCCCCAAAUGUAUACUUUUGGGACACAACUGAAUUUAUAUUAAAAAUAAGACUUCUCUUCCAACACCAUUCAGCCAUGGAGAGAUUAGAUCCUUUCCUUAUGGGCCAUGUAGGUUGAUUUUUUCCAUGUAUGGGCUUGCUCUUAGUUCCGCCUUCACUCUUGCUCUUGCUAGUGCCCUUUCACUUCUCAUCCAUCCAUCCAUUAUCCAUCUGUCUCCAUCAUCCAUUCGUCAUCCACUCAUGAUCCAUCCAUCAUCCAUCUAUCAGCCACCCAUCCACCGUCCAUCCAUCCAUCCAUCCAUCCAUCAUCUGUCAUCCAUCCAGCUAACAAAAAGGUGCUAUGCGUGAAGUGCUGUUCAAAACAGAUAAAAAUCAUUGCCAUUAAAAACAACAAAAGUGUAUGCCCUCAUGGAGCAUAUGUUUAUCCAUUCUUCCCCCGACUCUAUCUAUCUAAUUCAUUCAUCAAUCCACCCAUCAUCCAUCCAUCCAACUAUCAUCCAAUCUCAUCCAUCCAUCUGUCCAUCCAUUCAUCAUCCAUUAUCCAUUCAUCCAUCAUCCAUUCAUCCAUUAUCCAUCCAUCACCCAUGUAACCAUUAUCCAUUAUCCAUCCAUCUAUCCAUCACCCAUCCACCAUCCAUUCAUAUAUCAUCCAACAAUCAGCC